GUGGGGAAUUUUGCGCAAUGGGGGAAACCCUGACGCAGCAACGCCGCGUGGAGGAUGAAAUCCCUUGGGAUGUAAACUCCUUUCGAUCGGGAAGAUAAUGACGGUACCGAGAGAAGAAGCCCCGGCUAACUUCGUGCCAGCAGCCGCGGUAAUACGAGGGGGGCAAGCGUUGUUCGGAAUUAUUGGGCGUAAAGGGUGCGUAGGCGGUUUGAUAAGUUUGAUGUGAAAUCUCUGGGCUCAACCCAGAGUCUGCAUCGAAAACUGUCGGGCUUGAGUAUGGGAGAGGUGAGUGGAAUUUCCGGUGUAGCGGUGAAAUGCGUAGAUAUCGGAAGGAACACCUGUGGCGAAAGCGGCUCACUGGACCAUUACUGACGCUGAUGCACGAAAGCUAGGGGAGCAAACAGGAUUAGAUACCCUUGUAGUCC
rnacentral:rRNA from 1 species